CAGCCGCCACGGGAAUACGGAGGGGGCUAGCGUUGUCCGGAUUUAUCGGGCGUAAAGGGAGUGUAGGCGGUCUUUUAAGUCUGAUGUGAAAGCCCACGGCUCAACCGUGGAGGGUCAUUGGAAACUGGGAGACUUGAGUGCAGAAGAGGAGAGCGGAAUUCCAUGUGUAGCGGUGAAAUGCGUAGAGAUGUGGAGGAACACCAGUGGCGAAGGCGACUCUCUGGUCUGUAACUGACGCUGAGGAGCGAAAGCGUGGGGAGCGAACAGGAUUAGAUACCCCAGUAGUCCCUGUCUCUUAUAC
rnacentral:rRNA from 1 species